GCAGUCGUGGCCGAGUAGUUAAGGCGAUGGACUAGAAAUCCAUUGGGGUCUCCCCGCACAGUUUGAAUCAUGUCGACAGCG
rnacentral:tRNA from 1 species